rnacentral:lncRNA from 1 species
CAUGCAUAUGAUAAAAUACGUUCCAGCAGACCCAAAAGAUAUGCAAUUAAAGAGAUGCCCCCUCCCUGAUCCCCAGCCCCCUGAAUCCCAUCCUCAGAGACAACCAUGCCCAUCAGUGUUUCCUGCCAGACAUAUUACGGGCAGACACCAGGACAUACGUGUGUACAUACAUGUGUUGCCCGAGACAGGCAUUCAGGUGGAAACCCACAGCGAGGCCAGCCGGGGGCCCGGCCAGCGGCAGAGAGAGAGCAAGCUCCCGGCCUCGCCGACAAGGGGACCGAGUCCAGGGAAGUCGGGAAACCCUCGGUGUUGGUACCUCCCCGCGUCUGUAUUUUGCACAGCCCCCUGUGUUUCUGCCGCAGGCCUUGGGAUGGAAGAAGGCAGGCAGAACCCAGCAGUUCAAAGGGAUCCGCCUGGGUAUUUGUGCCCGGGCAAAUCGGCCGAAUGAAUAACACAGCAAGCUGGGGACAGCUUUGUCGCUGUCCCUAAUCAUUCAGAACCAACCGCUCGCUCAGACGAGACCCGGGGCACCGCCUCGGCCUCCUCACUCUUGCGAUCUGCCAGCACCAUAAUUAUCUUAUUACCAGCCACCUUGUGCUAAUAACCUUUCCCUUUAUUACUGAGAAAGGAAUUAGAGAGAACUAAUAGAGCACGGCCAGUAAUUCAUUUGUGACCUUGCAUGUUUUUUACCCUGGGCGCCCAGUGAAGACAGAAGUCAGGGGAAGGCGCCCCCUCCACCCCCACCGCCCCGGGGCUCUGGUUCUUCUCCGACCCUUUCGUGAUGUGCUGUCCACAGAGCUUCCCCUUCUGGGGACACGUGUCAGGUUCUGCUGGUCCUGAGCUGCCCCCUGCUUGGGCAAGAGCAGGGGUUCUG